UACAGAGGUGGCAAGCGUUGUUCGGAAUUACUGGGCGUAAAGGGCGCGUAGGCGGCCUUCUAAGUCAGACGUGAAAUCCCCAGGCUUAACUUGGGAACUGCGUCUGAUACUGGAGGGCUUGAGUGCGGGAGAGGGAUGUGGAAUUCCAGGUGUAGCGGUGAAAUGCGUAGAUAUCUGGAGGAACACCGGUGGCGAAGGCGGCAUCCUGGACCGACACUGACGCUGAGGCGCGAAAGCUAGGGGAGCAAACGGGAUUAGAAACCCCCGUAGUCC
rnacentral:rRNA from 1 species